GAAUGGAGGUCGUCGAUUCAGGUCGAGUAGGAGCACUCUAUGGCUUUGCAUUGCUACUAGUGGUCCAAUAUUCACACCUUCACGAUUUAGUGGAUUUCCCUCAUCCAUAUCUCCACUGACGUUAGAAUAUUCCUUAUCCCGUCGUCAUGAGGUCUUACUACUUUUGGUCUCUAAAUUGUAUAUGCUUUUUGGAGUAAUUUGCUUUGUUUCGAUGCCUACAUGUUAGCUUCGAAUAAAGCUACUUUCCCUGCAGCUUUGAAAAAUAGUCGCUAAAAAAAUCAAGUGAUCCAUUCUACACUCAUCUUUGUUGUAUUAUUACACUAAUAUUUUGCUUCCACCAUGAAAUUUUAAUAUCUUAUUGGAGUUUGAAUAAAAUUUUAUGUUUCAAUGUCUUUAUUUUAGCUAUCUCACAUGUGGUGGUCCUGUAAACUGUCCAAUUUUUUUAAAAAUAAAAACAAAAUGGAACCCUAAAUUAGGAUGGUUAGCUUCCUAUUCUAUGUAUACCCUUUUUCACUUUUCUUUUUCUUUUGGAAAAAAGUAACUAAGCGUUCGGGCUCCUUGCUUUGUACUGAUGUAAGUUUCCAUUAGGCAAUCACAACAAUUCCACAAGGAAGCAGGUCAUAAGCUGGAGUCUACCUUGCUCCUCCUUUCUUUCUUUUCUUUGCACCCAUAUCCUUCCUCUUUGUUUUCAAAAUUCUUUUGUUAGAAGAGCCAUUUAACAUAUGCAAUAUUGUUUAUUUGUGGAAUGGCAAGUGAUGGGAAAUACUAAGAUUAUAACAUUGUAGAUAUUAUCAUUUGGCAGGUUACCAUAGCCCAUUACCUAUCUUGAAAGGAUUGAAUACUCAAUAAUCGUGGCGAAACAGGCGGUGUCGAUAUACUCAAUUUUUAUAUUCUCAUAAACAAGAUAAACUUUAUCCUCCCUGUAUAGCUUAACAUGAUGUCCCUCCAUACGUACUUAUGUAUCAAUGCAUUGUUGGUUUACUAUUGUUCACAUUCUUAAUUAGCUUAUAGGUCACGAAUCUCAUUUGUUUUCCCUUGCAUUUUCCCAUGUUUACAAUUGUUCACAUUCUUGAUCAGUUUAUAGAUCACAAAUCUCAUUUGUUUUUUGUUGCAUUUUCGCAAGUUGAACAAGUGUUUCGAAUCGUCAACAACUCGUUUGAACAACCUACGACCUCCGUUAGGAACAUGUAUGUUUUUUCCAACAAACAAUAUGUUAUCUAUUUAUUUUCCACACUCAUGACAACCACAUAUAUCAUUUUUUACUUGCUAUUUUCUGCAUGGUCACCUGCUAUUUUCUAAUCGGAGCAAGGUGAAUCGCACAUUCUGUAAGUUCUAUUCGAAAGAGGUAUUUUCUAUACAAUAAACACCAUGGCCACACCCUGUGUAUCCACUUGUGUAUCUAAACAAAUUACAUAUAUGUAUAUAUGUACUUUGAAUAAGUGCUCAAUUAUAUAGGAUUGAUAACGAUGUUAUACAUGAAUAAAUAUAUGCAUAGAGAUCCUACAAUAUAAAUGCACAUGUAUACACACAUGUUAUUGAGUACUCGGAUGGUAUUUGAUCUUUUCAAAAACAAAAAACGGGUGAAGAUUGUUGUGUUUUAAUAGUCUAGAUGUGCUUUUAACCCUCUUUUUAUACAAUUGUGGCAUCAUUGGUCUAAGUUGGUUACUUCAUCCUUAUGGCUUAGAUUCUAAUUAUCCAACAAUGUCAAUUUAUAUGAUCUGAAUUCCAUACUGCUGUUUGGCAUAAAGAAACUACUUACAUUCCAAAAUAUAGGUUGUUUUUAGUUUUUUUAGAUAUGUAAUUUUAUCAUGUAUAAUAAAAGGCUUAACAUGUAUCAAGAUGCAUAUAGCACCCAACAGACUUCUACAUCUGAUACUGAAGAACAUAGAUCCAAAUGUAAUGCUCAAGAAGAAAUCACAAAGGACCAAACAGCUAGCAUCAGGCAACUCAAAGCAAAAGACAAUAUGCCUUUAUUUGAAUCUCCUCCAAAAAGGAGUGUCAAAAAAGCACAUUUUUGUAAUUUUGACAUGGGAUAUUUUGUGGUCUUGAGGAACAUAUAGACCAAUAUGUUGAUACCUCAACAAGUUUGUAUUUAUGACUAAUCCGCUGUAAAAGUACACUUGAUCCACAAAGUCCUUGAAAACUUCCUUUCAACGCACAAUCCUUUUUGUAACCACUACGACCUAUUGUAACAAUAUCCAAACUCAGCAUCCUACGUUUGUAUAUUCCAAUAUUUCAGUACUGCACAUAUAAGCAUGCUUAUAUAAUUAUGUAUGUAUUAUGUACCUACUUCAGGUAUAUUAAUAGACCUAUAUAUUGCUUAUAUAAAUCUAAAAUAUCACUUUGUUU